rnacentral:lncRNA from 1 species
AUUGGCUGUUCUCACCCAGCAUCAGGUCUCCUUGAUUACAUGCUAUGGCCAUCCCCAUUGCUCUGUGUCACCUAACUCAUGUACUGUGGUCCCUUGAGCAAAAAUAAUCCCAUGAAUAGGCUUAGCUUUCACCCAAGGCAGGAUUGACUUGGACUGCCUUGAACAGUGUCUUUAUGUGCACCACUGGGACUUCAUCCCCUCUGACAGUAUGCAGGAGGCUUGAUAGGGCGGGACCAGCUCACCUGGCAGAUCCCCCAAGUGUUGACUAACCAGGUGUUUUUUUGCUAAAUGUCCCAGUGUUCGAAUGUCCCUGCACCUAUGGCUCUCAGUGUAGUCUUAACUGCCUCUGUGCUACUUGGUUUUUCCAAAGGUUGUGCAUGAGAGGGGAUGGAGUACAGGCACUUUAUGUCAUGCUGUUUAGCCUAGGUGGUUAGGUUGUUUCAGAAAUGAGUCCCAUUGUCUGACUCAAUUCUUUCUGGGGUACUGUGCUGCAUCAAUACUUGUUUUCCAAUGCCCAGGGGUAGUAUUUUGGGUGGAUUCUGUUGUCCUCUGUACCAAAGAGACUUUAUCUGCUUGGCUUGUUGAACUACAGCAUGUGUUUCACAGUCGUAGAUCACUUGUGUAUUAGUGUUCCAUCACUCAGUCCAUCUAGUCUAACUCCUCUUUGCUGAACUGGAACAUCUACAGAGCCCCAUACAGCCUGACCUUGAGUGUCUCCAGGGAGGGGGCAUCCACCAUCUCCCUGGGCAGCUUGUACCAGCACUUCACUCCCCUUACUAACUUGCCUCUGCAUACCUUCUUUGGCAGCAGUGAACUUUACAAAGAAGCUCUGUUUUUUUCUUUUUUACAUUAAUUUGGUGUGGUCUGCAGGAUCCCAAGGAAAGUGAUGCUGGAAGGGGGCAGGAAUGGAUCUGCUGGAGGGAAUUCCAGGUCUGCUUGGGGUAGUCCUGGCCUGGAGAACAAAGAACGGUGCAGGGAAGGCAUUGGGCUGCCUCACCAAGUGAAAACUUAUCAGCACAUGAAUGGUAGCAGCACACCCAUGGAUAUGUAUAUUCCAAUUGGUACUUACAGGGAGAGUGGAGAACGCAGAGACAAGGGUGGAUGCCCCAUUCCUGGAGGUGCUCAAGGCCAGGCUGGGUGGGGCCCUGGGCAGCCUGACCUGUUGGAGGGCAACCAGUCCACUGCAGAGGAUGGGGCUGUAAGGUCUCAUCCAACCUCAGCCUCUGUGAUUCUGUGAUAAGACCCAGCUAGAUAUUCUGCAGAGCCAGAAACAUGCCUGGUGCCUUCCAUGCGCUACGUUUGUUAUGCACCUUCCUCAGAAAGUUCCUGACCUAAAACACAUGGAAAAAGAUGGAAGUGUUUUUGCUGGCUUCAGUUCAUCUGAGAUGAGCCAAAAGUCUUGAAUGGAGAAUACUUUAGUGGAAAUGAGAUACUGUUUUCAGUCGACCUUUUAUCAACCUAAAGAUCCAUGCCUCAAAAGAUUUAUUCAGGGACUUCCUUGUUUACUGGCAUUAUUCAUGUCAGUGACAAGUGCCUUUCCAUAUCUGAUCUGUAGGAAAAAUCUCCCUUUUCCCCCCUCAAUUGUAUGUAGUCCAAAGCUAACUGCAUCUUAGUACUGAGAUUGUUUUCUCCUUGAAUCAAAAUAUUUUGGUUCAGCCUGUGUAUUUUCACAGAUCUUAGCUAAAUCACAAACAAUUUCAUUUCUGUAGCAUCACCAGGCUGACAGAUGUUUCACACGAGGAGCUUUUCAGAAUCUUUCUCUCCACCACUACAGUCUGAGCAAGUACCUGAACGCUUCCUAAGAUGAUAUGCAACAGCUAUAGGAGCUGUAGGAGCAGCUGUAGCUGAGGAUGCAGUAGAUAUUUGGAUACCUGUACCUUAUUUCCAUGUGCAGUCACAAGGAAAGAAGUGGAAAGCUAUGUGCAGUAUAUGUCUCUUUUUCCAAAGUCUGUUCCCGUAUAUUUUUCUGCGUAACUGAGAUUAGAAGACAGUGAGAGCUGCUUUACACAAAUUCUUUCCAUUCUUUGCUUUUGCUGUCCCUGAAUUUUGCAGGAAUGAGGACUUAAAUUAAAAGAGCAGGUGUCCCAUGAGUAACCAUUGCUGCUGCCUGUCCCUCCAUUAUGCAUUGUUGUGUUUAUAGCAGUUAGAGAAGCAGCUUUGACAGUGAUUAGAGGUAGCAGCAAUUCUGCUCACCAAUGCCAACUGCUCAUGCAGGGAUCCAGGAGGAAAGCUGUCAUUGUGCCAUCAAAGGAUAAAAAAAAAAUUGCAACAAACAGUGGCACAAAAAGACUGUUUUAGAGAAAAAAUAUCUUCAAAAUCUUAAAUAAGUACAACCCAUAAGAGAAAGGGUUGAAUCUAAUGGGUGCCUUCAAUGAGCAUCACACCAGUUGAGGGCACGAAGAUACGUGAGCAAAGUGACAAAAAUGAAGCUCUGAGUAGCAUAAGCCUUUAGUAAGGGCUGCAUCUCUUUGGAAGGAAGAAGGACCUCUCUUGUUGAUGCAGCAAAGAGACAGAAAGUCAUUCUGCCAACACUGGUCUGGUGCUGACAAGCCCAGCAGAUGAUUGUCAUCAGGCAAAUCAGAUGGGAGUUUCUACUGAAUGUCGAAUGCAGCUAAAGAUCUGAUUUGCCUUGCCUGCAGUCAGUCGGAGCAAACACCUACCCAGGCACUCAGCACCUGGGUAACUCCGCAAAGACAAGGAAAAGUCAGAAAUGGGCAACACCUUGCAGGGGAGGUUGUAAAUGGAAUGUAAUGGUCCAGAGAGAGGGGAAACCUCAUGCACAUGAAGGGUUAUGCCCACUUCUCCUGAAGGCGAUGUCUUGUUGGCCAUGUCAACAAGAAGGCAGUGGGCAUAGGUCUGUGCCAGCAGAAUUGCUUUUACAAUUCUUUCUCCCAAGUUCUACUCUGUUUCCAUGAGCAAAUAAACGGAUUGUUUAAUCUCCUG